GUCUACGGCCAUACCACCCUGAACAAACCUGAUCCCGUCUGAUCUCGGAAGGUAAGCAGGAUUGGGCCUGGUUAGUACUUGGAUGGGAGACCACCUAGGAAGAUCAGGUGCUGUAGGCG
rnacentral:rRNA from 1 species